GCCCCGUUAGCUCAGUGGUAGAGCUCCUCUAUAUGGUGAGCUAAAACGCCUAGCAACAACUUGAAGGCGGUCGCAGGUUAAUCCUGCCCGCUGGCU